UCGACGCAACCGUCAAGUAAUAUUUGAAAAAAUUAAAAACAUAUUUCGUCUGUAAUGGAUCUUGAUUAAGAAUAAGUUAAGUUAUCUAAGGCUCCAUUGCAGUUUUGACAUUAAUACGGUAUUGUAUAUUGAGAAAUUUUGAGAAAAUCAGCACAAUUGGCACUGCAAAAAAUUUCCAAAAUCGAUCCAAUCUUUGAACGAAAUAUAUUAGCAAUCUGUCCGAUAGGUAUCACUACGUGAAACAAACAGUCACACUUAUGGCAGCGCAUGAUAAACAAAACGGCAAAUAUUCUCGUAAACUUUCGUAACGAACGAUUUCACCACACAUACAUCGUCAACAAACGAGAAGGCAUUUCAUUUAGCAGCAGAGUAAAUAUACAUGAUCCAUUUCUGACGCCUCUGAAAAAAAAAAUUGCACACCCGCUUUUCAGAAUUUCGCAAAGCCACGAGAUCUCACGUGCCAUCUGUAUACGUUGGUUGCUUCACUCAAUAGGAGUGUACGUCUGGUGUGAGCCUAGAAAACGACUUAUGCAUCAGCCGCGAAAACGAGUUGGUUACACGUACUCGCACCUUUUCGGAUGCUUUGAGGAAGUGUGAAAGAAUUUCGCUUACGAUCGCAAGCGAACCUUAUCCUACGUACACGGCUUUUCAGGCCAGUGAGAGUUGCGUUAAGACUUCUUUUUUCAAAUUCCAAACGACAUGCACUGGUCCAUAUUUUUUUCAAAGGAGAUCAGCGAUCUUUUUGCGCACAAAUUAGCUGACUUACUGGUAUUUGCUAUAAAUUUUAUUUACACCUACAUUUUUCCAAAUUUCAUUGUACAUUUUAAGCCAGUGAACUACGAGUUUAUUUUGUUGUAUUCUUUAUUGAAUUUCGUUUGUAUUCGAAUGAUAAAGCUUUAACGUGAAAAACAAAUAUAAUGUCAUGAUGAAUCCGUAAAUAUUAUUAUUUUAAAAAACAAGUAUUUAAUAACAAACCAAUCAUCACUAUCACAAAAAAUGUAUGACUAAAAAUAGCUUGUAACUUGUAGAUAUUCGUAGAAAAUCGGAGACAGAAUAUAAUAAUGAAUAUAAAUAUUUUGGGAACACAAAAGACCAGUGAGCAGUAGCAGUGUGCGUGCCUAGGAUUGGAUAAUUUCGUCAGAUAAUGGCCAAACAACUCAAUCAGAAAAACUCGCACUCGUCUACUGAAAUGUGACAGUUGAUCGGCUAAAUGGAACGAGUUAAGAUCACUCAAUCGCCCACUUUUCGAAGUCGAAUUUUCUUCUUGAAAAACGCCACUACAAUAAUUGCGCCAGUAUGCCACGAACGGUCCAGCUGUGAUAACAUUGUAGCGAUAACUUCGCGAUUAACAAGACACAUGAAUAAUGAGCUCAGUGUAUAUUCGCAACAAGUUCCUGACUUUAUUAAUUGUUUGGACUGUGACAACGUCAAUUCAAGCUGAAUAUUCUCCGAAAUCCGAUGUUGAAGACGUACCAGGCUUGAUUUUUCCAAUUGCACCUAAUUCGAUAUGUAUGCGUCGUCCUUAUUACCAAUGCAAGUGGACUUAUGAGAAAUCUUGCAGUUGCAAUCCCGUCAAACCGAAAAAACUGAAGAGACGAAUAGACGUCACAUACAUACGGAAAAAAUUGAAGAAAAAGCACAUCGCACCUAAGGAUCAAGAAUCAUAUGAAUGUUUAAGAGAUCGAUGUAUCCAGAUGUAUUGAACAAACAAAUGGAACCGCGUGAAAUACAUUUAUACAGUUUCUAGUCACAUGCAAUGCAGCCAACUCACUCGCACGAAUGCUUUAAGAUCAUAAUCAUAUUUUCUCUCACGCCUAUCAGUAUUUUUAUUAUUUAGUUUAAAAUAAGUCAUGUAAUUGUGAUAUUAUGUGUAACAUGACUUUAAAUACGUCAUUAUGUCAUUGUUGUUCAAGUUUUGUAGUAUAAACCAAACUAGCAUUAUUAUAACAUACAAGCUUUUUAUAUGUUAAUCUAAUAAAGCUUAUAUAUUUUUUGAAAAAUAACUCACUGAAUUAAAAGAUCAUCUUUGCAUUAACUGUAAGAGCUAAUCUACCAGUGAAAAGA